GCCCCCAUAGCUCAGCUGGAUAGAGCACCAGACUUCUAAUCUGACGGUCGCGCGUUCGAAUCGCGCUGGGGGCACCA
rnacentral:tRNA from 1 species